rnacentral:misc_RNA from 1 species
CAGAUUUGUAAUAAUUUUAUUUCAUAGAACUAAAAUCGUCAAUUAUUAUAGAAAAGUUUUAAUUGUAAAUGAGGGCUGCAUGUAAGAGCUCAUUCCAAGUGUCAGGAACACCAGGGAGGCACCAAUGGCUACAAUCUGUGGCCCGAUGACCUCCAAAACCAUAAGCUGAGGGAUGCCCAUCUUUUCUUAGUUGUGAAAGUGAUGUGAUGUUGAGCAUAUAAAUUGGCUUUGAAAUGGUUCCCAGGACUCUCUCUGCAAUAGUUUGUGCUGGAUGUGUGCUCCCUGGAUAGUUUGGCUUGAACAAUGGCUCUGUUUCUCCCUCACAAUUCUUUCCUAAUGAAUUGCUCCAUUCUGUUGAAUUUGUAUGGUCUGGAGAAACACCCUGUAGAAAAACCUUGGUUUUAGUAGGAUCAAUAUUGAUCUGAAUCCAUCUAACCCACGUACUGAGUGCCUUCUCAUAGGCCACCAAUCGAUUCAUGUCUUUAUAUAUUCUUUUCCCUUCUUGGAUCCAUUCCCAUGGUUGCUUUCUUCCUGUGUGAAGCCACCAAUGCCAUGUGUUAAAGAUAAGUGUAUCAACUCUUCUCCAUAACUUUCCACUGCUUAUGGAGUCUACUUUUAGAACUCUUCCAAUAUCCUCUUCAACAAUGUCUACUAGAAAUGCGUUCCGAGAGAACAUCAAUGAAACAUUAUACUCUUGAAAUUUGAAUAUGGAAAGGCCUCCAAUCCUCUGCAAAGUAUAGUUGGCUUCUGGUACUGCUGUGUGAAGCAUGCAAGCCAAUGAUUCCCAUUGAUUCAAACUCAAUGAGUCCCCUACAAACAUUAUACUCAUCCCCCUCAUUUUUGAUAAGAAAUUUUUACCAUUGAAUCUUGGUAAUGUGCAUGAAGUGGGCUUCCACCUGUAUUUGAGAUAGAGUGAAUCUGGUCUACCAUUCUUUUGGCAAUC